ensembl:lncRNA
CUUGUGGGCCUGGUGCAAGUCUCCCCGCUCUCUGUCCUGGCUGUGAUUUAUGAUUCUCCUCCCUGCAAGAUGGUCCCCCCUCAUCUUCCCCAAAAUAUGGUGCUGUGAUGACAGGUGUGCGACACUACGCCCUGCUGAGAACCACCUUCUUCACAGCCUUGCCCAGCAGCAGCUGUGCAGUGACCGCCUCUGGCCCUGCCCCCACUCACAUUUCACGGUGAUCUGAGCCACUGCCUCAAUGACACCCAGGCUGGACAUGGCCACGCACGUGUAGUUGGCUGAGUCCUUGACAUCCGUGAGCUCCAGCACGUUGCGGCCCACGGGCAUGUCGUCCUCGGGGGUGAGGUCCUCGGCACCCUGCAUCCACUUGACGUAGGGCAUGGGCGAGCCUACGGCCACGCAGGUGAUGUUGACGUUGCCCCCCGGCAUGAUCUCGUGGCUCAUGGGGAGAAUGGAGAAGCGGGGGGCCACGCGGCGGACUGGGGAGCACGGGAUGCCCGGCAGGUCAGGCGGGAAAGAGGAGAAGCAGGGAGAGAGACAGAGGAGAGAAAGACACAAAGGAAGAAAACAAAGUAGAAAAGCAUUUAAAUAUAAACAGGGCUGCUUCUCUCCCCGUUCAUUUCUCCCCCCAAAUGAAAAGAAACAAACGAAUCCAAAUGAAAAAACCAAAUUCCAACACAAAGAAACCAAAACUUCAAAGGAAGGUACUUCACAAACAAUAGAGAGAUAUAUCGAUAUAGAAUAAAGACAUAAAGCAUUAUCUCAUAGCCACUGGGUUUCAGAGACCAGAGGGACUCUGGUCACAGCACAGACGUGGACACAAAAAUUUAUCAGCGGUUUCUCAUCUUUGCUGGCGGACGUGGCCACAGGCCCAGUGCCACCCAACACUCCCGAUGGCGGUGGCCACUCUGAGAGCGCUGGGAGGUUCUGGCUGUAAGGGCUGGGGUCGGGGAUGCUCGAGGGGACACUGUGAGCAACACUCACAGCGGUCGAGGGCACGUCCAAGAGGGUCCGACUAGCUGGAGCGUGGAUGGAUGGACCCUAAGAGGGAGGAGCCAAGGAGAUGCAGUGUGCUGGGAGCCGGUUCUGCUCCCGUCCCCUCUGGUGACUUCGACGGUCUCCCCACUUCUCCCCCCACCCUCCCAAGGAAAAGAUGAGAAAACUCUAAUGAAAUUUUUGUGGUUUUGGGUAUAGAAACCCUUCUAAAAGCUUCUGUCGGAUCUGACCAGUUUUGAUCAAUAAAUGCAGCUCUCAAAAUCCACAAACAUCAUGCAGAAUAGGUUGAGAGAGAAAGAGAAGAGACAGCAAGAGAGACAGAGAGAGAGAGGAAGAGAGAGAGAGGAAGAGAGAGAGAGAGCACAGAGAGGGGAUGCAGAGGGGCCUGGAUUUGGGGAGAUCUCUGAGGCGCGGAGAUGCGUGGAGACAGAGCUGGACACUGGGAUGGAGGGAGGGACAGGGACAGAGGGCUGGGCCCGCUCAGUGCUGCGGAUGCGUUCCAGCAGAUGUGGCCCAAUGCGAGACCUCACAUUGUCACAUCCCGGCCCUGCGACUCGACUAGGGGAGAGGACGUUAAUAAUAGUGAUGCUGAUCGUCAAGGAGGGCGAGCUGGCGCUUGGGAGAAGGUGCUGUGCGCUGCUCUGCAGGGAGUGGCCACCUUCCGUCCGGACCUCAGGACGAAGGUGGCAGACGUUGUUCCGGGGCUCCGUUUCAGAAGGCGGGUGAGUUUGGAGGUCAGGGACCUUGCGUCUUGAAGAGAAGGCUGUGCCCGCUGUAGGGACUCGGGCCAUCCUGUUAGGGACGUCUCUGCCAGCCAUGUGGAACCCUGGGGGACCACUUGGGGCCUUAAAUGGCACUGUGCUGAGUCCAGCUCUGGGUGGGGCUGGGGACUUGCAGACAGGUCAGGAGCUCAGCCAAGCUGAAGCACUCUUGGGGGGGCCCCCAAGGCAAGGCUACCCAGGUAAGGUGUAUGGUUUUGGGGUACAGCCUAAGGGUGCAGUGUCAGGAGGUCUCAUCUGCUCCACUGAGGAGGGGACUCUGGGAAGGAAAGGCGGCAGCCCUAACCCCUUCAUCUGGCUUUGGUCUCCAGCUGGAAACCCCAACCUCCGUUCCCUAAUCAGGUGGGAGGCAGAGGAGGGGCUCUGGGGGGGAUGGGAGGGGUCUGGGAGCUCGCAGCCUUUCGGAAAACGAAGCCCACGAAAUGUCCAGAGUCUCGGUGAAGACAGGAUGGAGGGGCGGGGAGGAGACGAGGGGCCAUGCAGACGGACAGAUGGACAGACAGAAAGGAGGAGAGGGCAGCAGGGGGCUGAGAUGGGGUGCACUGGGCAGGGCUGGUGGAGGGCUGAGUAGGAAUGGGGCCCGGCCGGCUGCGGAGUCCACAGCAGGCUGGGGCAGGAGAGGCCGGGCGCGUUGUCAUGGAGACGGAACACGAAGGGGGUGAGUGCCGGCGGCUAAUUAAUCCAGGACAGAAACGGCAUCGACAUCCAAAACAAAAUGGGAGAGGGAGGGGGAAGAAACAAAUGAAAAAAGAAAAACAAAAUCAAAGCCAAAAAAAAAAAAAGAAUUUAAAAAAUCAAACAAAAACACCCCUUUGAAAUGAAACACAGCACCCAAAAGCAAAAAAAAAGAAAACAAAGUAACCAUGGAAUGGGUGUGGGGCUGGAAAUCGGGGUCUGAAAGGAGGGGGCAGGGGCUUCCCCGGGAGACGCCCGCCCCCCGGCAGAACACAGGGUCUGGCCUCCCGCCAGCCCCGAGCGGCCCAGGGUCCCAGGCAGCCCGGUUCCGGCCUCUCGCUGCGGCCCUGCCAUGGACACCUCUGCUGCCCGGGCCUCGAAUCCCACGGCAAAGCGGACUCCGUCUCAUCCCAUGUGAC